GUGCCAGCAGCCGCGGUAAUACGUAGGGGGCAAGCGUUGUCCGGAUUUACUGGGCGUAAAGAGCGUGUAGGCGGCCAAGCAGGUCUGUUGUGAAAACUGGAGGCUCAACCUCCAGACGUCGACAGAAACCGCUUGGCUAGAGUCCGGAAGAGGAGAGUGGAAUUCCUGGUGUAGCGGUGAAAUGCGCAGAUAUCAGGAAGAACACCAAUGGCGAAGGCAGCUCUCUGGGACGGUACUGACGCUGAGACGCGAAAGCGUGGGGAGCGAACAGGAUUAGAUACCCCUGUAGUCC
rnacentral:rRNA from 1 species